AACAUUUGGGGUGCUGACUAGCUGAGAUUAUACCCAUUGAACCUGAUACAGUUAAGACUGGCGCAGGGAAAUGU
rnacentral:ncRNA from 1 species